GCGCACGGGUGAGUAACACGUAUCCAACCUGCCGUCUACUCUUGGACAGCCUUCUGAAAGGAAGAUUAAUACAAGAUGGCAUCAUGAGUCCGCAUGUUCACAUGAUUAAAGGUAUUCCGGUAGACGAUGGGGAUGCGUUCCAUUAGAUAGUAGGCGGGGUAACGGCCCACCUAGUCUUCGAUGGAUAGGGGUUCUGAGAGGAAGGUCCCCCACAUUGGAACUGAGACACGGUCCAAACUCCUACGGGAGGCAGCAGUGAGGAAUAUUGGUCAAUGGGCGAGAGCCUGAACCAGCCAAGUAGCGUGAAGGAUGACUGCCCUAUGGGUUGUAAACUUCUUUUAUAAAGGAAUAAAGUCGGGUAUGCAUACCCGUUUGCAUGUACUUUAUGAAUAAGGAUCGGCUAACUCCGUGCCAGCAGCCGCGGUAAUACGGAGGAUUCGAGCGUUAUCCGGAUUUAUUGGGUUUAAAGGGAGCGUAGAUGGAUGUUUAAGUCAGUUGUGAAAGUUUGCGGCUCAACCGUAAAAUUGCAGUUGAUACUGGAUAUCUUGAGUGCAGUUGAGGCAGGCGGAAUUCGUGGUGUAGCGGUGAAAUGCUUA
rnacentral:rRNA from 1 species